UGCCUGCGGUGUUCGAGAAAUGCGACUAAUACUAACCCUAUGUCAAUUUUAAGGGAGUCCGGGCUUCCGCGUGGGAUUGCAGACCUCCCGACUUUUGUCGGACGAAGGGAGCGUGAAAACGCAGAGAGGACACCCACCUGCUAAGAGCAGGUUUCUAUUAUCGCAUCCGGCAUUGCGGGUUU
rnacentral:other from 1 species